rnacentral:rRNA from 1 species
UACAGAGGGUGCAAGCGUUAAUCGGAAUUAUUGGGCGUAAAGGGCUUGUAGGCGGUAAUAUAAGUUAGGUGUGAAAACCCUGGGCUCAACCUGGGGCGUGCAUUUAAGACUGUAUUGCUAGAGUAUAGGAGAGGAGAAGGGAAUUCCUGGUGUAGCGGUGAAAUGCGUAGAUAUCAGGAGGAACAUCAGUGGCGAAGGCGCUUCUCUGGCCUAAUACUGACGCUGAGGAGCGAAGGCGUGGGGAUCAAACAGG